CAGGGAGUCGUAAAAUACCGGGAGGCGACACGCCACACAUUUCACCAUCCGAGGAUUGCCGCACUCGACCCGCGAAAUUUGAAGCGUGAUUGAAACGUCGUCGUCAUCUUCUUUUUCUCAAUUGUUUUUGCUAUAUGCUUCGAGGCUAUUCUGGAUCUCCAGAGCGAAAGCUGGUUGUUUCUGAUACGUACCACGCAUUACCUUAGGUUGAGCCGUGGCUUUUAAUUUUUUUUGGAAGUUCACUGCUCUGGAGACGACGGAAUGUCAAGGUAAGUUAUUCACGAAAUGUACUCAAAUUUGAAUUGAGUCAAUGCGAAUGACACCCUGUUUUCGGACUAGUUCUCCACUAAACACACCAUGCCCAUGGCCCCUUCAUGUUGUCCAAGUUCCAUUCUAGGUUUGUGUGAAGUUUCGAGAUGAAGUUCGACGAUGUACUCACCUUUCCAUGGAAGGGAAAAAAAAGUAGCAUAUCAAACAGAAUCCAUGCAGUAUUUGAUGCCACUAUCCUCAUUCUUCUGCAUUCAAAGUGUUUCACAUCUAUAUGGCCCAUGAACUGCAAACAAUAUUUGUCAUUUCUUAACUGUUCAUAGCUGUUCAUAACUGUUCUGAACACAUUGCCUUCAGGAAACGUAAGGCCGAGUCGCCUCACCGACUGAGCAAAGUUCUCUGCGACGAAAGUCACACUAUCGGCGAAUGCACUCAAGAGCUUCCGAGCCACGCCGAGUCACCUGACCAACUGAAGAAGGUUCUGUGCGACGAAAGUCACACUAUCGGCGAAUGCACUCAAGGUGAAUACCCUGUGGACUGCUUAUACCACUUAUCACAGAAGCACACACACACACACACACACACACACACACACACACACACACAAGCGCAAAAUUCACAUAUCACUGGUUCAGUUGUUUUUAUCUGUGUCGUAUUUUGUCUUAUACAGAGCUUCCGAGCCACGCCGAGUCACCUGACCAACUGAAGAAGGUUCUGUGCGACGAAAGUCACACUAUCGGCGAAUGCACUCAAGGUGAAUACCCUGUGGACUGCUUAUACCACUUAUCACAGAAGCACACACACACACACACACACACACACACACACACACACACACACACACACACAUACACAUAUCACUGGUUCAGUUGUUUUUAUCUGUCUUCUUUUGUCUUAUACAGAGCUUCCGACCCAGACCAAGUCACAUGACCGACUGAGCAAAGUUCUGUGCAACGAAAGUCACACUAUCGGCGAAUGCACUCAAGAGCUUACAACCCACGAGGAGAGAGCGGAGAAAUGCUCGGCCCCUGGCAAUGACUCGAACGCAACAACUGGGGCACCACUGUCUUGGCGUGGUUCAGUACCACCCUCAGUCCGCGAAAUCCUGGUCUACGCGGUCCUGGUCUACAGUGAUAGUCAGGAACCGUAUAGAGCUCGGCUUCCGUCCAGCAAGCUCUACUCCUCUGCUGUGAUGGUCGCCAACCAGUUCCUCCAGUCGAGGGAACAAAUUAGUGCCAUUCAGCUAUCGAAUUAUUUCAACCGAAUCAAGAAGCCUGGGAACUACGGAAAAUAUCUUGGACGCCUGCGGACAACACGCUUCCGCACCAUCAUAUCGUCCGUCGUGGAAUCGUGCAACACGCAGUUUCGGAAGGCAGACAGCAAGUCUCUAGAUGGCGGCGAGGUGUUGGAGGUGAGGAAAGUCGUUGAGGGUGCUAUCAGCCAGUGGGCCUCACCACCCACACCCCCCACACCCUCCACAUCACCUACACCUGCUGCCAUGGACUUCAAUGGCAUUGCGGCGCGCAUCAACAGCAUGGCACGCUGGAAGGCAAUUGAAGACGAUGACCUAAAGGCACACUAUUUUAGCCCAAGGCCUGGCUGUCCCCAGCUAACUGUACUGGUGAAGAGAGACUUCACAUUCCAAGUGUUGAUGCAAAGUAAGAUCGUUGACAUGACCAGCAUAUGUAAGCCUCCGGAAAAGCUUCUCACCUGUGAAGAUAUAGAGACCGUCGUGUUAGCCAUCGAGAGAGCCGAUAAUUGCCAGGGCUGCAGAUACGACAAAUACAAAGAUUGGAUUGAAAACCGGCUCGAUGGUGGAACGUUCAAGAAUUCGUCUGGUGCGGUAGUUGGAAAACUCGAAACAUGUGAACCAACACCAUGCAUACGAACAGUAGCAUGUCCUAUACUCGUACCUGCUG